AAUGCGGGACUCUAAGAGGCCCCGUAAUUGGAAUGAGUACACCUUAAAUCGUUUAACGAGUAUCAAUUGGAGGGCAAGUCUGGUGCCAGCAGCCGCGGUAAUUCCAGCUCCAAUAGCGUAUAUUAAAGUUGCUGCAGUUAAAGAGCUCGUAGUUGGAUCUGGGGCUUGAGGUCGCUGUCUAUCGUUUCGGCGAUGACGGUGAUGCUCAGCUCUGCUUGCCGGUGACUGUUGCGGUGUUCUUCACUGAGCGCUGUAGCAGCACGGCACGUUUACUUUGAAAAAAUUAGAGUGCUCAAAGCGUGCUUGUCGCUUGAAUAAUGUUGCAUGGAAUAAUGGAAUAGGACCUCGGUUCUAUUUUGUUGGUUUUCGGAGCUUGAGGUAAUGAUUAAGAGGGACAAACGGGGGCAUUCGUAUUGCGGUGUUAGAGGUGAAAUUCUUGGUUCGCCGCAAGACGGACUACUGCGAAAGCAUUUGCCAAGAACGCUUUCAUUAAUUAAGAACGAAAGUCAGAGGUUCGAAGACGAUCAGACACCGUCCUAGUUCUGACCAUAAACGAUGCCGACCAGCGAUCCGUAGUGGUUGCUUUAUGGACCCUACGGGCAGCCUCCGGGAAACCAAAGUAUUUGGGUUCCGGGGGAAGUAUGGUUGCAAAGCUGAAACUUAAAGGAAUUGACGGAAGGGCACACCAGGAGUGGAGCCUGCGGCUUAAUUUGACCCAACACGGAAAAACUCACCCGGUCCGGACACCGUAAGGAUUGACAGACUGAUAGCUCUUUCUUGAUUCGGUGGAUGGUGGUGCAUGGCCGUUCUUAGUUGGUGGAGUGAUUUGUCUGGUUAAUUCCGAUAACGAACGAGACUCUAGCCUGCUAAGUAGUGUUGCUAUUGUUAUAUGGUUGACACUUCUUAGAGGGACAAGUGGCAUUUAGCCACGCGAAAUUGAGCAAUAACAGGUCUGUGAUGCCCUUAGAUGUCCGGGGCCGCACGCGCGCUACACUGGAGAAGUCAGCGUGUGUUAUCCAAGUCCGAAAGGACUGGGUGAUCCGUUGAACCUUCUUCGUGCUUGGGACUGUGGCUUGGAACUAUUCCACAUGAACGAGGAAUUCCUAGUAAUUGCAAGUCAUAAGCUUGCGUUGAUUACGUCCCUGCCCUUUGUACACACCGCCCGUCGCUACUACCGAUUGAAUGGUUUAGCAAGGUCCCCGAUCGUGGCCGUAGGGGCACGCAAGUGUUUCUGCGGUUUGCGAGAAGACG
rnacentral:rRNA from 1 species